UGCCAUCAUCACUUCAUGAUCUUUGUUGCGAGCGUCAAUGAACGGAUUGAAAACCAGAGGAAACAUGGUGUCUGGAUCAUCAUAAGGCAACCAUGCUCGCUGCUCUCUGGUCAAGCCUUCGUGCAAGGUUUGGAAGAAUUGGCUGACUGUUGGGUAUUUUAAACGCAAACAGAAAAAUCCGCAAGCGCACGGAUACCGAUGUAGCCUUCACCCGGGACUAUUCCAGAGUAUCGAUUUUCCACAGGGAACGUGAGUGUACUAAUUAAGAUCCAAGAUCGCCCAAGGAUAACUAUAUGAAUAUUUUUGGUGGGAAG
rnacentral:lncRNA from 1 species